CAGACCGAGAAGCAGUGAGCUACACAACAUCUGCUAGCUAACAGCUGUUUGUUGUGGACUCAAACACUUUCUUCCGCCGAGAAAACCAUCAAACGACCUGCCAAAACAAGUGACCAUGUUUAAAAGAAACACAGCAGAUCCAGUGUUUCUGGGGAGAAUCUUCCGAUGAACAGCGAUUGACUGUCAGUGUAGAUCUACCAGAGUGCUUCCCUCAGGAUACGACGAGGCCCGUCUCUUUCCAUGCAGCACAGUUCAAUAGUGGAAGAGUGAUGUGAGUCUACUAAUUGACCAGAGACACAGAGGCGUCACAGGAAACUCAUGUUCUCUCGCUCUGCUUCGACUCUCGAUGAGGAAGUGGGGGCUGCUAAAUUGUCCUGUGGUCUGACUGAACCUGCCAGAGAAGAACAGAGAGAGGGGGGUUGGUGGUGGUGGUUGGAGAGCCGUUAGAGGCAAAACACACAGUGAGAGUGCCACACCUGCAGCAAAUAUCGAGUGGUGACCAGUUAGACUUUUUCAUAGAUUGUCCAAAUAAAGAAAUGUGGUCACUCUGA